GAUGUAGCUCUGUGGUAGAGCACUUGCCUAGCAUGCACGAAGCCCUGGGUUCAAUCCCCAACACA
rnacentral:tRNA from 1 species